rnacentral:rRNA from 1 species
GACGAACGCUGGCGGCACGCCUAACACAUGCAAGUCGAACGCCCCUUUCGGGGGGAGUGGCGGACGGGUGAGUAACGCGUGGGAACCUGCCCCGUGGUGGGGGACAACCCAGGGAAACCUGGGCUGAUACCGCAUAAGUCCAGUGGCUGUAGUGGCCAUUGGGGAAAGAUUUAUUGCCACGGGAUGGGCCCGCGUCGGAUUAGGUAGUUGGUGGGGUAACGGCCCACCAAGCCUGCGAUCCGUAGCUGGUCUGAGAGGACGAUCAGCCACACUGGGACUGAGACACGGCCCAGACUCCUACGGGAGGCAGCAGUGGGGAUCUUGGACAAUGGGGGCAACCCUGAUCCAGCAAUGCCGCGUGUGUGAAGAAGGCCUU